rnacentral:rRNA from 1 species
GGGUUAGUGGCGAACGGGUGAGUACUACGUGAGUAACCUGCCCUCUUCUUUGGGAUAAGCCUUGGAAACGGGGUCUAAUACUGGAUAUUCCUGUCUGGUCGCAUGGCUGGGUGGGGAAAGUUUUUCGGUGGGGGAUGGGCUCGCGGCCUAUCAGCUUGUUGGUGGGGUGAUGGCCUACCAAGGCGUCGACGGGUAGCCGGCCUGAGAGGGUGACCGGCCACACUGGGACUGAGAUACGGCCCAG